GACGAACGCUGGCGGCAUGCCUAACACAUGCAAGUCGAGCGAGUAGAUCCCUUCGGGGUGAAGCUAGCGGCGGACGGGUGAGUAACACGUGGGCAACCUGCCUCAUAGAGGGGAAUAGCCUUCCGAAAGGGAGAUUAAUACCGCAUAAGAUUGUAGCUUCGCAUGAACCAGCAAUUAAAGGAGCAAUCCGCUAUGAGAUGGGCCCGCGGCGCAUUAGCUAGUUGGUGAGGUAACGGCUCACCAAGGCGACGAUGCGUAGCCGACCGGAGAGGGUGAUCGGCCACAUUGGGACUGAGACACGGCCCAGACUCCUACGGGAGGCAGCAGUGGGGAAUAUUGCACAAUGGGGGAAACCCUGAUGCAGCAAUGCCGCGUGAGUGAUGAUGGCCUUCGGGUUGUAAAGCUCUGUCUUCGGGGACGAUAAUGACGGUACCCGAGGAGGAAGCCACGGCUAACUACGUGCCAGCCGCCGCCGUAG
rnacentral:rRNA from 1 species